UCGCAGGCGAUUUUUGAACUAAAUGAGAUGGCUGAUUCUUUCAAUCAAAAUCAAUUCGAAUCCUGCCACCAUGCACUGCCAAACUUCUUUCUUUGAUUUUCCACAUUCAGAUAAAGCUGAUCCUAUCCUCUGGUUGAUAUAAGUGACAAAGGUUUAACGGAAUGGCUGCAAUUUUUAUUUCAUGAGUUUUAAUUGUGAGAAUGUAUUCUAUGUCAAAUCUGGACUUGGCACUUAUUAUAAAAAAGGAUAAUUACAUACAAACCACCCGAAACGUUGAUAUUUAGAAAUAGCCAGUUUCAGGUGGUCUGCAUGUAAUUGCCUCCCAAGAAAAGCCUCUGCCUGUGAAAUUAAAAUUUAAGUUUAUGAUUUUUUGUUGUUUUUAAUUCAGAAUUACUCCAGCAGGGUGCCAUAUUUGGAAACCAUAUAAGACUUCAUUACAAGGGUGAUUUACAUAGGUACUUCUCUUAUCUUGUUUCAUAUCUAGCACUUUAUCUUCAAUUUUUACAUACCAAAUUACUUCAGCAUGAACAGGUUUGUUUCACCUUUUAAAAUGUGAUAUGUAAGAUUUUGGUUGUAUAAAUAUAAAGAGUAAAUCUAAGUGUUGGAUAUGCAAUACAUAAGAAUCUGGGUGGUAUGUAUGCAAAUUUUCUAUUUAGGAAGAUUUUAGAACCUUUAUCAGAUAUUCUCAGGUCUCAGAUCUGGAUGGUCUUCCCUGUUAUUUUCUUCUUUAAACUUUUUGAUAUUGUUAAGCCUGAAGGUUUUCAUGCUUCGCUGUUCUAAAAUGUCCAGUCAAUCCCUGCAAAUAGAUAGUUUCAAUCCUUAUGGGUUAAUUAGAGAUUGAGAAAAGUGCCACAAUAAUCAAUACGGAGUUGAUUUAGCUGUAGAUUCUUAAAAAAAUGUUAACGAAUAUUUACAAACAUAUCACUCAUUUCUCAUGUAUUUAAAGUCUGUUAUUUUAUUGCUUAUGAUUUGCUUUGUGUGCCAUAUUAUGGUGAAUAUUUCAUCUGGACACCACACGAUCGGAUGACCAAUCACCGGGGCCAAGUCGCCACGGGUGACAUGGCCGCUGGUGGUUGGCGUAAGUGCUUCAGGAUAGAAUAUUUUUUUUGCCAAAUAUAGCUAUUGUCAUUUUCAAUGAACUUCUUUUGUAUAACACCAACACAGAUUCUGAAGAACUGUGUGAGUUAUAAACACUUUUUAAUCCUUUAAAAAAUAAAUGCUUGAAUGUUUGAUAUAUUCUUGUUUGUUUCUUUGUUUAAUUUUAAAUGCCGCACAACAAGUAUCUUGCAAGGGCGCUCUACAAGCUCAUUAUGAUUUGUCUCUAUUUUUCCAGAACAAUCUCUUAAGGAUACUCUACAAGCAACUAAAACAGGCUAAUGCUAUCCACAAAAUCCCAGUUAUUCAUUUGUUCGCAGGAGAUCUUUGAACUAAAUGAGAUGGCUGAUUCUUUCAAUGAAAAUCAAUCCGAAUCCUGCCGCCAUGCACUGCCAAACUUCUAUCUUUGAUUUUCCACAUUCAGAGUUACUCCAGCAGGCUGCAAUAUUUGGAAAGACUUCAUUACAAGGGUGAUUUACAUCGGU